rnacentral:rRNA from 1 species
CAGCAGCCGCGGUAAUACGAAGGGGACUAGCGUUGUCCGGAAUUACUGGGCGUAAAGCGCACGCAGGCGGCUCGAUAAAUUAGAAGUGAAAGCCUUGGGCUUAACCUGAGAAUUGCUUUUAAGACUGUCGAGCUAGAAUCCAGAAGAGGGUAGUGGAAUUCCGAGUGUAGAGGUGAAAUUCGUAGAUAUUCGGAAGAACACCAGUGGCGAAGGCGACUACCUGGUCUGGCAUUGACGCUCAUGUGCGAAAGCGUGGGGAGCAAACAGGAUUAGAUACCCCCGUAGUCCCUGUCUCUUAUAC